UUUUUUUUUUUUUUUCUCUUCCAAUCUUCUGUCUGUCUUUUAUUCCAAUUGGAGAAGAGACGAUGGACUGAUGGCAGGGGCCGGAGAUUUUCUUGGCGCAAAUGGAUGGGGAUAGUGCGACGACGAAGCCGAGGAAGCGUUGGCCGGUAUCAGUGGUGGAAGCAGCGGAGGUCGUCGGGGGAUUGAAUGAUUUUGGAGGGGUUUGGAAGUGGAAGAGGGUGUGAUAUUAACGAGGUUUAGGCCUUGUUGGUUUGCAGAGAGAUUGAUGGCGGUGAGGUUGUAAGGACGAAGAAAAAUCUGGUUUAAGAUGUGUUUUUAUUUCCAAAUACAAUGAGAAUGGAUUGGGUUCAGAUGUCUGGUUUUGAUCUAUGGUCUGGGGAUUAGAGUCUGCCAAUGGAUGGUGGCUUGUGGGCUAUGCGAUAGAUGGUGGUGAAGAAAAAGUCUGGGUCGUGUAAAAAUAUUAGGGUAAAAGUUAUAAAUGGUCUCGUGUUUUUGGGUCAUGGUUAUGUUUGUCCCGGUGAUUUAAAAAUGUCUAAUGUUGGUCGUCGUGUUUUAUAUGUAGACUAAUUUUAGUCUAAUUAUAGCAUUCCAUCUAACACCGUUAGUGAAGUUAUCACAUACUGAGUUAAUUUUGUCUUUUACCAUUUUUUCUCAAUGUUCAUAUGGAGGGUUCUGUUGCAAUUGAUCAUCUUCCCCUUCCUACAUGUCUUCCUCUUCAAUUACACAAUUCUCUUCUUCAGUCAAUACAUGUUCCACAUUGCAAGAAGACACUCUAGUAUGUUGAAAUUGACUGGAAAUUUGGUUAAACAAAUCAUCAAGGAUUUGAGAGAGCAGGUCAUCAGGAAUCUCAUCCCAAUUAUAAUUCAAUGUAUCAUUACCUUCAAUUUGAUUAAAGAUCUGUAAGUACCGUGCACACUAAUAAAGCUUCAAUUCAAUGUAUCAUUAUAUUCAAUUUGAUUAAAUAUAAGGAUUUGAUUAAAAAAAGAAGAAAGAUCUGAAAAGAAAAAGUUUUCAAUUUGUAUAUAGUACGAAGACGCUCAUCUAUAAAUUUGUCCCUAGUGCCACUACUUUGUUUGAGCUUUUACAUGGUCAGUUUAAUUCAGCUAUACAUCUGAUCUGAUGCUAAAUUGAUAUUAUAUAUGAUUCAAAAUUCAGGUGUUCUACCUUUGUCGACAAUCAUAACUUAGUGUAUUAGCUAUUACAUCUAAUCACCCAAGAAUACUGAGUAAAUUCGAGAUUGAAAUUCACUGCAUAGACUUUUUAUAGAGAUAUAACUUGAACCUAAACUCAAAACCUACACUAAAGCACCUUACAUAGAAUUUGAACCCUCAAAAUAUAGCUAGUUUGCUAACUCUUUUCCAAGAAAAAUAGCACAAAUAUAGAUCACAAUAUUCACUAGGCCAUAUACAGACGACACUUUUCAGACGACAUAUUUUGGACGAUUUUGAGUUUGUGUCGUUUGAUUAAUUUUUCGACCAUUCAGACGACAUUUGUGAAGUAUAAGUCGUAUGAGUGCCAUGCUCUCUUCAUACUUCUGGAUGUUGCUCAAUUUGUCUAUGAUAUGCAAAAUUUCAGACGACAUAUAUAUGCAGUGUAAAAAAGCAACAUUUAGCAACUUUAUGGUAAUACGUCGGACAACAUAUAAAAGUUGUCUGUGAAAGAAUGCGAAAUCUACUUUUAAUCCCUUUUUUAUGUACUUCAUCCAACAACAUAUUAAUGUCAUCUGAAACAACCAUAAAUCUUUGAUUUAUACCUCCAUUUUGAACCCUUAAAUUCACUUAUUCAGACGACAAACAAAUGACGUCUAACAAACCCAUAAAAUUGAGUGUACGAACCUUGUAAUGUAUAACCUCAGACGACAUAUGAAAGUGGUCUCUCUGACCCUAAAAUACUCAAUUUAUAAUUAAAUAUUGAGUUUGGUUACCUUUUAUUGUAUUUAAUAAGACGACAUAUAAAUGUCGUCUGUAGGAACCUGAUAUAUAAGUUUGAAAAAGGGCUCAACCUAUUAAUCUAUUCAUCAUACGAGGUUAAUAUGUCGUCUGUAUGAACUUGAAAUAUUCAAUUCAUUUGAGUUUGGGAGAGGGCGCCAACCUUAAUGUAUUCAUCGCACAACAUAAAAAUGUCGUCUGGACCUGAAAUAUUUGAAUUUGGGCGCCGAAAUUUUCCCUCGUUUUUCUUCAAUGUGAGACGGCGAUUAAAUGUCGUCUAAUGUUGUAAAUAAGUGGUCAACAUAAAUUGUACAUAUUUUCCAAACGGAAACGCUCUUAUCUCCUCCGACCAAAACUUAUAUUUUUGAUUCGCCGGUACUCAAACUCUUGUUAAGAGUAGGAAAACAGAUCUAUGUAAUAGUUUGGACACUUUGAUAAAACGAUUAUGUACUUCUCCUUGUGGAAGCUAUAAGAAAGUUUAUGUAAAUAUGAAGUUGACUCUAAUGAUCGAGACCUAUAAGUUAUCGAAAAUGGAUAAAUUUUCUUCCACAUACAUAUUUAAGUACUGCAAUUAUAUCCAACGGUCAGAUUAGGUAAAUUUUGUUUCUUGCAUAUAGUUGUCUUAUAAAGAUGUAUGUUUACAAAGCAUUUAGUAAACAUGUUAUGGCACAUUAGUACGCACGUUGUGAUUUAAAUGACGGAAAUAAUUUUUUUUAAGUUUGAGUGUCAGAUGUCAACAUGAUAGUGAAUUAUGGGUGUAGAACAAAUUCAAGCAUUUUCGAUAAAGUUCGGAUCUUGGUCGAUGCGGUCAACGUGAAUGGAAUCUUGCUUAGUAACUUCAGACGACAUAUCUAUGUUGUCUGAAAAAUACUUUUAAAAGUCAACACUUUUAUCUAAACGAAAACCCUCUUAUCUAGACCGACUAAUACUUAAAGUUGAGAUUUGUCAAUUCUUAUACCCUCAUUUAGUGUCAACGAAACUAUUUUAUGUGAACAUUUGGACACGUUUAUCGACCGAUCAUAUCGCUCCCCAUGAGGAAGAAUAGGAACGUUUUAUGUAUAAUUGAAGUUGACUAAUGAUCGAGACCUAUAAGUUAUCGAAAAUGGGUAAAUUUUCUUCCACAUACAUAUUUAAGUACUACGAUCAUAUCCAACGGUCAUAUUAGGUAAAUUUUGUUUCUUGCAUAUAGUUCCUUUAUAAAGAUGUAUGUUUACAAAGAACUUGGUAAACAUGUUAUAACACAUUAGUACGCAUGUUAUGAUUCAAAUGACUAAAAUAAUUUUUUUUCAAGUUUGAGUGUCAGAUGUCAUCAUGAUAGUGAAUUAUGGGUGUAGAACAAAAUUCAUGCAUUUUUGAUAAAGUUCGGGUCUCGGUCGAUGCAGUCAACGUUAAUUGAGUCUUGCUUAAUCACUUCAAAUGACAUAUAUAUGUCGUGUGACCAAUACUUUUCAAAAUCAACACUUUGAUGACCAAAACACUCGUUUUGGUUAAUUUAGAAUAUUGGUAUUAGUUGGUCAACUUAGACAAUAUAUGUAUGUUGUUUGAUGAACACACCCUUUCCAAUUAGCUAGGUUAUAAACCCUUUGCACGGUCAACCAAGGAUUAUCUGAUUUCAUUUUCACCAAGUGUCUGAACACACCCUUUCAUUUUCAGUAAGUGUCUAAAAGCAUCCUCUCUCUUUUUGUUUGAAACCCAUCUCUCUUUAUCUCGACCUCACCAUCUCUCUCGCAGUCACCAUCUCUAUCGACCUCACCAUCUCUCUCGACCUCACCAUCUUUCUCUCUGUCUCUCUCGAACACAACAACAUGUUUUCUCUCUCAAUAAGGUAACUCAGUCUCUUUCUUAUAGAGUUAAUUUUAGGGUUCUAUAGAAUCUGGGUUCCAAUUUUUUAGGUUUUCGAAUUGGGGGUUCUGAAUGUGAUUUUUUUAGGGUUUCGAAUUGGGGGUUCAAUUUGGUGUUUAAUAGUUUGUUGUUCUUGUUCAGUGACAGUUUGGAGUGAAGUAAGCAAGCAGUUGAAGUGGUUAUCAGUUGAAGUGGAGGUAUCCAAAUUGAAGUAAGCCAGUUUGCUCAUUUGUUUAACUUUUUAAUUAGAAUUCCUGUAUUUAUUAUUGUUUUGCUUGUGAUUGUUUAUCUUGUUUGUUCAAGUUGUUAAUAGUUGAAGUGUUUGUUACUGAUUUGAACUGAAAACACUAGACUUAAGCAUGACCUCGACUUGGGUAGCUAUUUCAGUCCUCUGCUCCAGUACCUAAGUGUUGUAGUUAUUUUUCUGUCUUUAUGUGCAUGUUGUGAUUGUGGUUAGUUGUGAUUGUGGUUAUUAUGAUGUUAGUACAAGUGUUUAUCUUGAUCCUCAAUUUAUUUUUAAUGAUUGUGAUUGGUUAUUAAACUAGUUAUUAUUCCAUUUUUAUGUGUUUAUAUAAGAUGGACAAAACUUGGAUGCUCGUUGAUAGGAGAUAUUUGAGGUUUCAAACUGGGUUUAAAAAUUUCCUCAAAUUUGCGUUGGCAAAUGCUGCCGACAAAUCAAGCAUACGCAGCCCUUGUAUGAAGUGCUGUAAUCACAGUGGAUUUACCAUUGCUGUCAUCAAGGGCCAUGUAUAUUUUAAUGGCAUCAUGACCAAUUACAAAAAUUAGGACUGUCAUGGUGAAGCUGCUGCCAUAGAGGGCGAUAGUGGCUGAGAGUCUGAAUCAGUAGAUAAGCCGGAGGAUAUAGAGGGUGAAGAAAAUAAGGGUGAAGAAAAUGAGGAUGAGGAGAUGUCUUGUGACUCAGAUGAGUUCCUUAGGCUGGUAGAAGAUGGAGAUAAAGCUUUGUACCCUGGGUGUACAAAAUCGACAAAAUUGAACGCUCUUGUAGAAAUGUUCAAUUUGAAAGCAAAGCACGGAAUAACUGAUGGUUGUAUUUCCGACUGGCUAAUAUUGUUUGAGUCCUUCCUUCCCGAUGGGAAUGAAGUACCUUGCAAUAUAGGUGAGGCAAAGAAAACACUAGGUUUAUUGGGGAUGGGGUAUGAAAAAAUUCAUGCAUGUCCAAAUGAUUGCAUUCUAUAUAGAGGGGACCAUCAUGAAGCUGAAGUAUGUCCAACAUGUACUACUUCGAGGUAUAAGAUUAGAAAGAACAGAGUUGUGAGGGAUGGGGUUGCUGCAAAGGUUUUGUGGUACUUUCCUAUAAUAUCGAGAUUCAAAAGGAUGUUCCAAUCUCCAAAGACAGCUAAGUCCUUGACUUGGCAUGGCGAUAGGAAAAAAGAUGGCAUGAUGCGGCAUCCAGCUGAUUCACCGACUUGAAAAUUGGUUGACACACAGUGGCCAGAAUUUGGGAAAGAACCUAGGAACCUUCGAUUAGCCCUUUCGUCUGAUGGAUUUAAUCCUUAUGUUGCUUUAAGCAGCAAAUACUCUUAUUGGCCAGUUAUUCUGGUCACAUAUAACUUUCCUCCUUGGUUAUGCAUGAAGAGGAAGUUCAUGAUGUUGUCCUUGUUGAUAUCUGGACCGAAACAGCCCGGGAAAGAUAUCGAUGUCUAUCUACAACCGUGAAUAGACGAUUUGAAGUUACUGUGGCUGGGGGUUGAAGGUGUGUAUGACUCUGUGAGAGAAGAGACCUUUACAUUGAAGGCAGUCCUAUUUUGGAUUAUAAAUGACUUUCCUACGUAUGGGAACCUUUCGGGUAGUGUCACCAAAAUAUAUAAUACUUGUCCUAUCUGUGUUGAUGAAACCAAACCCAUUAGGUUGAAACAUUGUAAGAAAAUGGUGUUUUUGAAGAAUCGUCGAUUCUUGCGUAGAAAUCAUCCAUACCGAAAGCAGGCUGCAGCAUUUGACAACACGAUUGAGAAUGAAGUCGCCCCUGAACCAUUAAGUGGAGAAGAGGUUCUGGCAAGGGUUGAAGGACUGCCUUGUGAGUUUGGAAAAACUCAAAAGCCUGCCAAGCGAGGUGAUCAACCCAGACCUUGCUGGAAAAAAAAAAGCAUGUUCUUUGAACUUGAAUACUGGAAAUAUAUUCCAAUACGCCAUAUUCUUGAUGUGAUGCACAUUGAGAAGAAUUGUUGUGAUGCCAUAAUUGGGACCCUCUUGAAUAUUCCUGGCAAGACAAAGGAUGGAGUUGCUUGCCAUUUGGACAUGGUCGAUAUGGGCAUCAAAACUGACUUGAAAGUGGUAGCUGGGGAGAAAAAGGCCAAGUUGCCUUUGGCUAGUUGGAAUUUGCUGCAUCAUGAGAAAAAAAUAGUCUGCAUAUCCUUUUUUGGAAUGUCAGUUCCUACACGCUUUUCCUCAAAUAUUAGUAAUUUGGUCUCCAUGGAAGAUUUAAAACUGGUCGGUCUUAAGUCACAUGACUGCCACACAGUGAUGCAGUACCUACUCCCUGUUGCAUUAAGAUCAGUUCUAGAGAAGCCUGUUAGGUAUGCCAUUAUUCGGUUCUACCUAUUUUUUAAGGCAAUUUGUAGUAAAGUCAUAGAUGUUUCUAGACUUAAACAAAUGCAAGCAGAUCUGGUUGAUACCGUUUGUUUGCUUGAAAAAUUCUUCCCACCUUCAUUUUUCGACAUUAUGAUUCAUCUAACAGUACAUCUUGUUAGAGAAGUUGAACGGUGUGGCCCUGUGUUUUUCCGAUGGAUGUUCCCAUUCGAGAGGUACAUGAAAGUACUCAAAGGGUAUGUUAAAAAUCGACAUUUUCCUGAGGGCUGCAUGGCUAAGAAGUAUAUUGUUGAAGAAGCUGUAGAGUAUUUAGAAGUGCGUAUCCAUUCUGAAGGUGGUAUCACUGUGGGAAUUCCAUCGACAAGCAAAGCUGGAAACUACAAACAAAGUAGGCCCUUAUCACGACCAACUAUCACAUAUGUGUACAGAAAGCAGAUGCAUCUUGCACACCUUUGUGUCUUACAAAAUACUGAAGACGUCUAGCCCUACAUCAAGUAAGUGUAUACAUCAGCCUUUCUUAUUUUUUUAUAUUUCAAUACCUUUUAACCUUAAAGUUUUUCAGAGCUUAAUGGUUUUCUUUGUUCUUCGGUCUAGGGAGCACAAUAAAUAUUUGGAGUUGAUUUACCCAAAUAAUGUGAAGAACAAGAAGUGGAUGAGGGAAAAACAUAAUGCAACAUUUCCAGACUGGUUAAAAGAAAGGGUAAGUGAAAUUAUAUACUAUGUGAUAGUACAAGUGUUAUUUUACAAAAAUUGAAAACGUAUGUCACAUAGGCUUCCUCCUUUUUUAAUGAACAAUCGUUGUGGCAGGUUGCAAAUCAAUUAAGGCUGAAAUCUGAUAAAGUUUCACAAACAUUAAGGUGGAUGGCUGCUGGUCCUAAAAAUCAAGUGCCAACCUAUGCUGCUUACCAUGUCAAUGUGGAGUUGACUACAACACCAAAGAGAGAGACAGCAUUCGAUCAUUUCAAAACAGCAGUGUAACAUUGCUUGCCAAUGCAAUGCAAGUUGCAAGUGUGCAAUGCAAGUUGCAAGUGCGAGGGAUCAAAAUCCAUCCGACGGUGCUAUGGACAUCUAUGGAGUUAUUAGAAGUAUAUGGGAGGUGGACUACUAUAAGUUUAGGGUUCCUGUGUUCCACUGUGAUUGGGUAGAGAGUACUAGAGCCGUCAAAGUAGACGAACUUGGGUUUACGUUGGUGAAACUGCAUAGGUUAGGGCAUUUAAACGAUCAUUUUGUGUUAGCUACACAUGUGAAACAAAUAUUUUAUAUUGAGGAUCCCCUAGAUGCGGAAUGGUCAGUAGUUGUGAGGUGCCCGGAUAUAGACUACCAUGGGGUUGAUGAUGACGAUGAGGUUGAAGACACAGAUGAACAAUCAUUCAUUCCAGCAAUGUCAUCAGUUGACACAUUUGAUGAUGUAGAUGAGAAUCACCCUACCAGACAUAUGCGUGAUGGCAAUGAAGGAAUAUGGAUAGAUAAUAGUAGCUUACCUGGUCACGUUAAUAGUGAAUUUGAAGGCAAUGAAUGGAAUGCUAGCUAAUAGGACUGUAAUCUUUAUAUAAUUGAAGUUAUUAGAACAACAGUCUGAUGUUUUGUUGGAUGUUUUGUUUGAAAUGUGAUUGAUAUAUUUUCUUUUAACGCAUAACAUUGUUGCCUUAAUUAUGAAGAGUGUGUUUUUCUGUAUUGUCCUAUUUUUCUCGACAUUAUUGUUCUUCUUUUUUAACCUCAGUAUGCUAGCUGACCAGUCUUUUUUAAAUGGGUUUCAGUAAUGGCACCAGCAAGGAAAAGUCUUAACUCUUUAGGUUCAAAGAAGGGACAAAAAAAUGGGCAGUUGUAGAAGUUAUUGCUUCCAGAAUCAAGGCGACGCGACAAAAGCCAGCUAUAGCUUCUGAUAGUAUUCCAGCAGCGUCUACUUCUACACAAAAGAAUGCAGUUGAUAUUGCUAGAAGAAUCGAUGCUGUGCGACAACUGAAGAAGGCUACAGUUUCCAGUACAGCAACCUUGGAUUCUGGGAAGACUUUACGUACUUCUCCUCAAGCGGAUGCCACCCUUGAGAAAAAUGCAACUCCAAGUGAUGAAGCAGUGUCAGCCCCGAAGAAGAUGAAGUAUAGCGGGAAGGCCAAGUCCAGUUCAGUUUCAACCAGUGCAAAGCCGAGAAAGAAGAAAGAACAAAUUCCUCAUGCGGAAACCCCCAAUAUUACUGGAGGUCUGCGAUUACUAUCCAGACCGAUGGUAACUAUGGCAAGAGUAACAAAGCGACUGAUCAGAGGGAUCAAGCUUCCCAUAGAAUCUGAUGACAGGGGGACACCAAUAGGUAAAAAUGCUGCAUAUAUGCAAUCGUACAUUGGGGUCUUAGCACGUACGACGAUCCCCAUCGUCUUUGAUGAUUGGAGGAAUGUGGAUGAUGAACCUAAAGAGAAGAUAUGGGAAGCAAUUCUGGUAAUUUUUUUUUCAUCGACUUAAUGAGUUACAUAGGUCUUGACUAUUAUUUUUCUGGUAAUUUCAAUAAAAAUAGCAUUAGUUAUAGGUUUUGACUAUUAUUUUUCUCUUGUUUUAUGUAGGAGGCUUAUGUGAUCCCUCAACAAUGUAGAAGAUUUGUCCUUAAAUCUGCAGGAACCAAAUGGCGGGAAUUCAAGAGCACACUGACCACUCACUAUGUUAUGCCAUUCAAUUCAAGGACAGUCCUGAGAAGUUGGAAAAUCCUCCUGAUGAUUAUAGAUGCAUCCCCAAGCUGUAUUGGUCGCUUUUUGUGGAAGAUAGGAUUAGUGAAGAAUUUAAGGUUUGUGAACAUGUUUUUAUGUCCACCUUGUUGUUUAAGAUGGCUUACAACCAAUAAGAUGUUAACAUUGUGGUUCCUGAAUUCUAUGCUUCACAGGAACUGCGGGGAGUUUAAAGUGCAAAGAGAAAGCUUAACAAGUACAAUCACAAGAUGUCACGUAAAGGAUAUGCUCAAUCAAGAGUGGAAUUGGUAAGUUUUGGUUGAUAACAAAUAUUUUUUCCUUAAUCAAAAUGUGUUCUACUUCUAACAUGAUUCUGCUUUGUUAUAUUGUUGCAGGCUAAGAAGCUGGGAGUCCCAAUUGAGAUGCUGGACCGUGCCAGAAUGUGGCUGAAUGCACAUUCUGACAAGGAUGGUAACUUCUCAUCACCUGAGGUGGCGAAGACGGCCAAAAAGAUUGUAAGUCCUGUUAGAAUCACUCAGUAAUUUACCAUUGUUUAAGGACUAUGAAAAUUAAUAUUAGUUGUUUUAUGUUGUAUGUUUAAUGUUAAGCUUUUGUUUCAGGAAACCUUAAAAAAACAAUAAUCUGAGGGAUCACUUACCACAGUUGGGUCAACAGAUGUCCUCACCUUAGCAUUGAAGAAACCAGAGCAUCCCGGUAGGGUAAGAGGAGUUGGGGGUUUUGUUCGACCUGAUGUCGUCUUCGACUUGCCAAGAAAGCGAAAAAGAGGUGGUGGUUCUCAGGCAACCAGAAAAAGUAUAAGGCUUAUAUUGGAGGAGAAGCAAGAGGAGUUUAUGGCAGAACAAAAAGCAAAAUGGGAGGAGGAAACUGAAAAAAGGAUACAGAAACUUGAUGAAAAAUGGAAAGCUCAGUUUGAGUCACUGUUGAGAAGGCUGCAGUCUACCGGUGUGCAAAUCCCUACACUUGUCACACCAGUGAACGAACUCAAUUCAGGAAAUGGGAGCUGCAAUCCCAAUUUCGAGAAGGUUCAAAUGGCGCCGGAAAUAAAUGUUGAGCUCAGCUCGAUCAAGAAGAGAUUCGAUUUAGAUGCUGAGAAGUUCGUGGAGGAUGCGAUUGACCCCCAUGAAGUACCUGACCCUAAGCAGAAUGAAGAAACAGCAAUGGACUUGGAUGAGGUUAUAGACUUUGCUCCAAAGGCUGCAAAUUAUAUUACUCUGGUAAUUUAACUCUUUUCUCCUUUAACUCCUCUCUAUGUCCAUCAUUAGGCUUUACUGCCAGCUAUGAAUUAAACGAAUAAGAUUUAAGUAAUUUUUAUUUUUCCAUUGUUUGUGUUAAGAUUUGACUUGUGAUGAAAAUGAGUGUCGACUGGCAGUAGAUAUGGUGGAAAAUAUAGUUGUCAUUGCAAAAGUCAUUGAUGUCGGUGGUGAGUCAAGCAAUCAGCUAUUACAUGGUGUGUCAUUGGGCGAAAACAACGUGCGCGUUUCAGUUAUACGGGCUAUUGAAGGUGAUGCCCUGGUACCGAUUCCAGUGAGGGAUGAGAUUUUAACCGUGGAUGAUGCGGUUGGGAGCUGUGUUGCCUGGCCUAAGGACCUGGUUGUUACACAUGAAGCAAAGACUGUUACUGCAACAACUGAAACAAAGGUACUGCAAUAUAUAUGUCUGAUGUACUUUAUUUAUGUGCAAUUAUAUUUGAGUUUUUUUGACAAUAGUUCAUGUUUUAAUUCCUCACUUAAGUUGCUAACAUGCAUUUUCUUUUAAUUUUGCAAAUCAAGAAACCAAAACGUGGUUAUGGCAGGAAGAAACCAAUUCGAUCAACGCAUUCAGGACAAUGAAGAUCUGGAUAAUUUGCCCCCGAAUAUGCCGAUGGCAUUGAUUGACUUAUGCAAUUGGGCAAACACUUUUCUUAAGGAAGGGAAGACAGUGAACACUGUGUUUCAAGCAGAUCUUUUUGGACAUCCAAAGAAAGCAUAUAUAUGCAGAGCUGAUGUUUACGCCAUAGCCCACAAGAAAGAAGUAUCGAAUGGUGCUCUUUUCUUCUACAUGAGGUAAAUUAUUAUACUUGUUUACUGGUUCUUAAAUUUCAUAAUGGAUUAUGCGGCUGAAUUAUGAAGCAUGUUUCUUUGUUUAUUUUGAAGUAGUUAUAAUCAUUUCAUGUUGCAAUAUGUGUUUGUAGCUACUUGAAUAAAGUGUUAAAGCAGAACAAGAUGGAGGAUAUGAUGCGGUUUGUCGACUCUGAUAAAGUCAGUGCAAUUGGAAGUGGAACUCCCACAGCGAGGUCUCGUGAUCUGUCUGUUAUGUACAAAAAUAGGAAGCAUGGGCAGAUCUAUUUGAUUCCAUAUAACACAGGGUACGUAACAAUGAACUAGAUUUUAUGGGUACAAAUGAUUUAGUGCUUAAGACAAACAUCUGGGAUGAUAUUGUAUGUUAUUGCAUAGUCAACACUGGACCUUGACGAUUGUGAACCCGGAAUUGGAAACCGCACGCUAUAUGUGACACGACCCGCCCCAAAUUUCACCCUGAAACCCAGAGUAAGUCGUGCGGGGACCACCUCCAAGGAAAAUUUAUCGAAAAUUCGGCAUAACCUCCCUUGAAAAUGGACAACCCUUCUUAAAACCUGCAAACACUUCUGAAAAUUUAAAUCCAACCUUAAACUCCUGGAGCCUUCGUGCUCCCCAAAUCUCAACAUCUCCCAAUUAUUUACUAACUUUAAAAGAAUAAUCUCACAACCAACCAUCACAGUUCAGAGCAAUUCUAAUUGAGAGGAAAUGAACUAGGAAUUUAGAAAUAAGCGGAAGCUAAACUAUUGAUUAUGCCUCUUCUCCAUGUACGCCCGACCUCAACUAUGCUAACCUGCAAACUGGGCAUUUUUAAAACGAAGAGCCCAGGGGAAAACAUUUGAAAACCGUUAGAGUGAGUGGACAAAAAUAAAUUAACGAAUAAAAUAUUUAUGUUUCCCCAAAUCAAUUUCCAAGAAAAAUCGAAUGCAUGCUGCAAGCGAUAAAACUUUUAUCUCAUAAAUGUCGAGCCUCUCAGGCUCUAUAAUAUAUGUAUGUAUUUACACACGUCCAUACUUCCUAUAUAAAUUCAUGGGUCUAUAUAGGGCUACUACGCUCGCGUCCAACGCUCACGUCACGCCUUAAUGCGGUGCUACACUACGCCAUUAAGAUGGACAGACGGGUGUAUAAAUAUGUCGCCCAAUACCCCCUAUAUAGAAUUAAACACGUCAUAUAGGGCUACUACGCUCGCGUCCAACGCUCACGUCACACCAUAAUGCGGCUAUAUGCUACGCCAUUAAGGUGGACAUACACAUAUGGCUAGCUAGCAUUUUAUAUACAUACUCUCUCUCAUAAAUACAUAUUUAUAUCCACCGAAAAUCCCAUUUUCAGUAACUCUCCAAGAGAAAUAAAAGCGUCAAAAUUAAUUGACGUCAAAACUCCAACAAAAAGAAAUGUUCAAUCAUGAACCAUAGCAUGCAUAUUAUUUCAAAUAAAAGUCCACUCACAACUCUAGGCAUAAGCCCGACGAAAUCCAAAUCGCCACUCCAGAGAGGUUUCCUCGAACCCUGGUACCAAUAAAAAAUUAAUUUCCCAACUAAAACUCCAAUAUUUAAACAAAAUAUGCAAAAUUAACCGAGAGCCAUAACUACGCUCAUCAUUGCCUAACUUCGAUAUUCUUAAAUCGAAACGAUCCGAACUUAAAUAUCAUACUCAGCAGCCGUAAUUACAACCUCCCCAAAAAUACGACUUAAAUCCUACGACCGGAUUCUACAUUAAUUAACCGCCAAAAAUACCACACUUCGGAAAUUCAUAAACCUAUCCAAAACUCAUCCAAAAAUUCCAUAACUCACUUCAACAAACUCCCCUUAAUAUUCUAAAUUUAAAACCCUAAAAAUCUUCCAAACAGUGGCGGCGCCGGCGGCGGCUCUGCAGGCAGCGGCGGCCGGAAGCUGAUUCCGGCGACCUCCAAUGCUCACCAAAUUUAAACAACAGCUUCCUCUCAACCUACUCUACAACUUUCAUAACUAGCACUAAGUCCAAUUUCAAGCCUAAAUAGGGUAAUCGAAUCAAAACAUCCAAAAUCACCCAAUUCAAACCCUAGCCCGAAAAUCCUCCUACACACUUCGAAUUGGAUCAUUACCUUCUAGGGAAAUGCUACACACGGAGAGCACUUCCAAAUGGAACUGAAAUCAUCAGAAAUGGUGGCCGAAAGGGCGAGUUCCGGCGUCGGGACUCCACCACGCAACCGAAGCUUCCGGGUGAGCUCCCUCCUUCACGGCGGCGCUAGGGCAGCUCUCACCGGUCCAAGAAGAAAGCUGGGUCGACGGCCGACCGUUUGGGACUGGUGCGCCGGUCUAUGGUGGCCGGACGGCGGCGGACGGCCGAGGAGAAUUCCGGCAGCGAGAGAGAGUCGGGGAGAGGAGAGAAGAGAAAGAGAAGGAAAAAGAGAGGAAGGGAAUUGGGCCUCCCAACCGAUCCAACCCAUUAUAACCACACCAACUCCAAAAAUAAAACACCCCGAAAAAAAUACCCCAAUAAAAAUUACCUUUUACUAGCUAAAAUUUACUAUUUUUACCGUCGUCAAAUUUUUCUCCUACGAAUAAUUCUCCGAGCAUAACCGUCCCCGAAACCCCUCUAGGGACCAAUUAAACUAUAACUUCAAUGACGGAGACGGUAAAAUUCUUAUUAUAACCAAGCUAGUAACUAAGGUAAAAAUUUACUGGUCGGGAUGUGACAAUAUGGAUCCACUGAAAAGGCGCUUGGAUAGAAGUGAAUGGCCUGCUAUUGUCACUGAGUAAGUGUGUGCUAGUUUUCCUAUAUGGUCUAGCCUUUUAGUAUUACUCAUUUAUCAGUUCAGCCAUGAAGAUGCUAACUAUUAUUUUUUCUGUUGGAAGCUCCAUAAAAAUGUACAAAGGCCUACUGAAGAAGCAGCCUGGAAAGAAGAAAGCAUCUCCUUGGAAGCCUCUACUUGUAAGCACUUUAAAAUUUGGUAGUGUAUAAUUUUACAGUAUAAUUUGAUUUUUGUUACUGUUUGAUAAGCCUGAUUCAUAAUUUUCAGGGUGCUCCGAUACAAAAAGAUGAUGUGAGUUGUGGAUAUUACAUCAUGCGCUACAUGAAGGAAAUUGUGGAGGACAACAACAUUGACCUUGAUAAAAAGGUACUGCAAUUUUGUAGAUUAAUCAUGACUUGCUUAUAAGUGAUGGACAUUGGUGAUUUAAGUUUUAUGAAUUAGCUAGCUCUUGGAACUAGUAUGUUUAUGUAAAUCCAUAGGAUGGUGAGAUUCAGGAACCAUAUAUAAACUUUAUAUUACUUGUGUCUUCACAUUUAUGUAUUUAUAUGGAUAAACCUGGCAGUGGAAUGGAUGCGAUUAUAUUCCAACUAUACAUCAGCUAUUUGACACUUUUUUUUUAUUGGCUACUUUUUAUAAUGCUGACACUUGUUAUUUAGUUAAUUUAUGUAUUUCUGAUGAUACGUACACUGGAAACUCAUUAUGUAUGCUGCAUUUGCUUUCAGUGGGGAACUAGGGCUGGUCUGACUUACACAGCCGAGGAAAUUGAUGAGAUUCGAGGAGAGUGGGCAGAGCAUGUGCUACAGUUUCCAGACCAGUAAAAUCAGACUUGAUGUUGGUUUAUGGUAGUAUAGCUCAUACAUAGGUGUGCUGUUUUAUUGCAUUAUAACUUUGGAACAUGAUAAAUAGUUAUGACUAAUAUGCCUAUUUUGUGGGUCUGAUGCCAACUAGGUAGCUAAGUUAUUCUAUGUUGAACAAAUUUACUUAUGCGCGCGAACAUAUAUUUUUGUUUAUAUAUGUUGUGUACUUGGAAAUGGCUACAAGGCUUUUGUUUAAUUUAAGUAGUAUGAUCUACAAGUUUAAUGCAGCUUGAUUUCUUUAUGGUUCAUAAUGUGUAAGGUUUGAUUGGCAUAUAUGGUUUAGAAUGCANNNNNNNNNNNNNNNNNNNNUAGAAUGCACAGGUUUUUGUACCGAAUUGAGGCUGUUUUACCAUAUGAACAGUACUUUUUGAGCUAAAACAGACAGGCAACAUUAUGCAACCAAAGACACAAAUGUGUCGUCUCGUACUAAAUCAAACAACAUAUGUAAACUCCCAAAAAACAUGAUAAUGUAAUGCAAUUGAGCAUUAGACGACAUAUUUUACAGAAUCAAACUCUAUUAAAAUGUCGACUUAGGGUAGGAAAAACUUACUUGCUAUCCCUCAACCUACAUAUAUAUGUGGUCCAAAUGUCAUGUAACAACAUAAAACAAAAAAAUUGUCGAUGGAUAUAAGCUACCUCAACACAUAUAUGUGGACUGAGAAGGAGUCACAAGAUUAAACUUUUGUAAUUCUUCAAUCAGACGGCAUAUAUAUGUCAAGUAAAGGACCUCGGCACGACGAAAUCAUAACAAACUAUGAUAAUGCUUCAUUCAAUCGACAGUUAACUGUGGUAAUACCAAGUCGAAAAGUAAAAAUAUGUGGUAUGAAUACAAAUGCAACUACAACUAAAUGUCGUAUGACAGAAGCACCAAAAAAUUUCUAAUAGUUUACAAUGUGAAACGACAGAUAAGUGAGGUUAGAUCUUCUAUAUAACCACAUAUAUCACAAGUUUUUGACGUUGUAAGCUCACACACUCAACACUUAAUUGAAGUGUGAUUUGAUAGAAAAAUCCAAUAAAUCAAAUUAUUCUCCGAUCAAUCCACACUUAUAUGUGGUAGGUAUACAAAACAGACGACAUUUGAUGUGUCUUGUGAUAUGAUAUUACAGUUUUUGGAUGCUUAUUCAGUCCACACUUAACUGUGGUGUGUUUACUGAAAUUUUUCAAUCUUCACUCUUCUCAGACGGCAUAAGAUGUGUCGUGUGAUAGCGUUUCAAACGACGGCUAUUCGCCGUUGUCUGAUAGACCAUCACUCGACAGCUCCUCAGACGACAGACUUGGAUUGUCGUCUGAUGAUGUAUAUGGCAUACUGAUUCUUACCUGGGUCAUGAGGCCGUCUAUCAAGAUUCUCUCCUCCAUGAGUCAUUUGGCCAGGAACAUAACAAUGGCAGUUCUUUUCUUUUUUGUAUUCCUGAGAGCGGUUUGAGACGAUAGAAGAUGAAACGUGCAGUGGUAGACAAGUAAUGGGUGACUAAGGUUUAAAGGUAAAAGACAAAAUUAACCCAGCAUGUGGCAGGCAUGUGAUAACCUCAUUAACGGUGUUAGACGAAAUGUUAUAAUUAGACUAAAAUUGGUCGACAUAUAAAACACGAGAACCAACAUUAGACAUUUUUAAACCACGGGGACAAACAUAGCCAUGACCCUAAACAACGAGGAUCAUUUAUAACUUUUACCCAAAAUAUUAUUUGAUUUUCUUAAGUUUAUUUUAUUUUUAGCAAAGUUAACAGAGUUUAAAUGAGGUUAGAGAUAAGGACAGUUGUAAGUAGGGUAUUGGUGGCACAUAAUUGGCAUAGGUAAAUCGAGAGCAGGCUAGGGUUUUACUUAAAAAGAUAAACGCAACACGAGACCUUCCCUCUCAGGCAUUCUAGCACAAUGGUACGUAGGUGCAUCUAGGGGUGGACUCGGUCCCAACGGUUCGGUUUUUAGGCAUUAACCAAAAACCGAAACCGAAGCUUCGGUUUUCUAUUUCCUAGAACCGAAACCGAUAAAAAUAUGUAAAAAAUCGCUCUUGUUGGUUAACCGAACGUCGGUUCGGUUUCGGUGCGGUUUCGGUUACAAAACCUACUAUCCGUAGUAUUUUUCGCAUUUAACCAAAUACCAUAAAAACUAAAAACAUCAAAGUUGUAAACUAUUAACACUUCAAAUAAGUUACUCUAAUGGGUUCAAACAAGUAAUUGAAAGGAAAAGAAAAGCUAAAGUUUAUACAUAAUUCAUUUGAAGCCUCCAACAUUUAUAUACUGCAAAAAGGAAGACUACAUGAGAGGAAAUUAUGUUAGACAUAAACACUUAAAAACAUAAUCAUGUGUGCGGAACCUUAUUAUUUGUAACUCAUAACCAAUAAGAACAUGACACGUAAUAUAGAAUUAUGUAUUAAUAAUUAAAUGAAUAUAUGUCGGUUCGGUUCGGUUCGGUUUAUUCAGUUUUUAGGAUGCACGGAACCGCAAACAGACACCGCACUACUCGGUUUGUGCGGCUUUGUGGAACCGAUUGCCUCGGUUUCAUUCGGUUUCGGUUACUCAAUGUCAGUUCGGUGCAAUUUUAACCGGUUUCGGUUUUUUCGGUGCCUAAAAGUCCACCCCUAGGUGCAUCAACUGAUAGCAUAUAAGGAUAUAAAGCAUCACGGGUUACCAUGUUGUCGGCUUAAGAGAGAGGAUCUAGCAUGUAUCUUUAUAAGUAUAUAACUCUGAUUUGGAAAGAACUUUGAUCUUGGUAAGAGCAAAUUCACCCGUUGGGUCAAAAUGUCAGGGUCAUUGGGUCACUAGGUCACUGGGUCAAGACACUAUUCAUUGCCACCGGACAUGUGUUUCCACCCGUUUUGUUUCUUGACAGGUCAAUUACUGUUCAUUAAGUAUUAUUUUAUUUAUUUAUUAUCAAUCAUAUUUGUAGUAAAUAGAUGGUUAAGAUGGACAUCAUGAUUAUCCUAUAAAUAAGAUCCUUCAUUAUUUUAGGCGAACAAAACAAGAUACAGAAAAAAAAAAUACCAAAAAUGGAUAAAAGAAGACAUUUAUACUACAAUUUAAAAAUUUAGACACAUAUACGUAGAGGUAAAUUAUAUAUAUAUAUAUAUGUAUUACGUUGAUAAUAUAUAUACAUAGGCUUAAUUGUAUUGAUUAAUACAAAUUAAGGUUAUUGUUAGUUUAAAACUUCCAGAACCAAGGGCUAGCUUGCACGUGUCUGUUGACCCACCAAAGUUGCUGAUGUCAGCCAUUUGCUAGAGCUGGGCCGAGGUGGCAACCGGUCUGUCUGGGUCACACUUUGGGUCAGGAUUCUAACCUUUCUCUUGACCUGGGUAAGUAAAUGUCAAAACUUGGCUGGUCAAGCAACAACCGGUGGAAGCUAUUUUUUGAGAAAUUGUGGUCACCACCUUAGCCAACCUAGGUGGAGGCCGGUUAAGAGAGCACCGGUGAACUUGCUCUAAACGGCUUCGAUUGGAAAAUCUCUACAAUUCAAUGCUUCCAAUAGAUUAUCACAACAGUCUCGAUUCACGUAGGUUUCUGUUUCCCAUUGCUAUAGUUUUCAGUUUAUUGGCUUAUAGAUAUUUUCACGUCCCCCGUGCAAUUCAAAUAAUCUAGCCCUGUUAGGAAUGGUCACACGUUUGUGUUUAAUUAUUCAAUUAUUCCGUAAAAAAGAAUUCCAAUCAAAUAAGGUUUCCUAGACCUCCAAGAAUUGUGAGUUGAGUUUACCUAUAUACAAAUACGACCCGGCCGGCCAGUCCUGAAUCAAAGCUUGACAAACAUGUCCAGUGACAUAUCCGAAGGAGAAACAUGCAGGAAGCGACUUAAGACCUCAAAGCAAGAUAAAAAAAAGGCCGUGAUGAUAAGAUCUUCUAUGCCCGACCUUGUUAUUGAUCGAAUACUCGCAUUACUUCCAACUAAAGCUGCAGUGCACAAGAGCUUUAUUUCCAAGCAAUGGGAAGGUUCAUGGUCCUUGAGCCCCGUAUUAGAUUUUGAUGAGUGUGCAAAGAUUGAUGAAGAUGACAUUGUGAUUGAUAAACUAGUUGAACACAGGAACUUCAUCAACAUUUUGCAAAGGUAUUUGAAGUUUCGGGAGAAAGACAAGACGAUUCAAGUUUUGGAUAGAUUCAGACUUCAUAUGACGAGAUACUUAGUUAAAGAUUCUAGUAUUGUAGAUAAGUGGCUGAGUUUCACACAUGAAAAGAGCGUCAAGGAGGUAGAUCUUAGCCUCGAAUUAGGUUGGCAUAAAUUUCCUGACCACGAAAUUGGUUGGUAUGAACGGGUGGAAAAACUAUAUUGCAUAUCUCCGGUGAGUCUUUUUCAUGCAAAAUCAAUAACUACGUUGAAUCUAGAGUUUGUGAGAAUACAAGACACUUACACUGCAAAGCUUAGACAUGCAAGGGUGCUUCCUUCUUUGAAAAACAUGUCCCUGAAAAGCGUAUGCUUAGACUGGCAGGCUCUUGGUGGCUUAAUUCUGGAGUGCCCUUCCAUUGAAAGUUUGUCAUUAGAUUCAUGUUGUUUUGAAGCAGGGGAGAUUCGCUUUUCAAGUUCUAGUCUCAAAUCUUUAAAAGUUACGCACUGUGAUGCUCGUCGUAUUGAAGUAAAAGAAGUCGUGAACCUUGAAUAUUUUACAUUCUUUUCAGAACUUCGGCUCUCGAGUGUGACCCUCGGAAAAUGCUCUAACUUGAAAUAUAUCAGCAUCCAUGCUCAGUGCUUGAAAAGUCUUGUUUUGCAUGGAUGCCAUGAUAGUUUAGAGGCCACCAUCCAUGCUCCGGGUCUUGUUGAUUGUAGGUUCACUGGGUUUCUGAAUUCCAGGCUGUAUCUGAAAGAUCCAAAUCUACGGACAUGCAUCAUCUGUUUGCAAGACCAUUACAAUAGAAAAUCACAUAAUUUUCAAGCAUUGAGAAAUUUUCUUGAGGCAUUUGAUGGCCCUGACAAUUUAAAUCUCUACAUCAGUGAUUUUAAGGUAUGUUUCUUUACUUGAUAACUUUUGGUUGAGAAAUUAAAACUUAUCAUCGUCACAUAUUAGGCAUGUUUUUUACUGAAUUUUUUUGUUUUUGCUUAUAAUUUUAAUUGUUUACGAUGGUGCAGGUUAUUACUUUUCCACAAAAAUUCAGAGAGACAUACUUGUCACCAUUGCCUAGGCUCAAGCAACUUAUGGUCUACAUGUCAAAUAUUCCAACAAAUGAAAAAGAUUAUUCCGACUUAAAUGACUCCCUGACUUGGAUGAUGUCAUCUAAAAAAUUUCAUUGGACUAAUGCUUAUUAUGUGACACCAUUGUACUAAUGCUUCUUUAGCAUUGUCCUUUUGAGUAUAGCGAACAACAUUGCUUUGUUAUUGAAGUUUCAUAGAAUCAAGUGUGAUCUUUUGUCUUUGUUUUUUAGGGUAUGAUUUGUUGCUCUAAUCUAUUCGUACUCUUAAUCAUAAUACCGCAAGCAAAUUUGGUACAGAAAACCAGAUUUGAUAAAUUGAAUUUGAGAUCUGCCAUAAGAUCCAAUCAGAAAGCCUUUCUGAAAAACAUGAUAACUAUGAUGCACCUUAUUGUAAAUCAAAAAUACCGAAAACACCUUCAAUACAUAAAGGAUUGCAAAAAGAAUGGGACGCGCGAGUAUCUCUCAUUGGUGUUGGGACGAAGAUGAACGUGUGUACCGAAACAUAACUCGUGCACACGUGUGGAUACAACCACACGCUGCCCCUUCUCACGUGACUUGUCACUUCGUAAGUCUCUACCUCCUGUACGUUACACGGAGGAUAUUCUUUGAAGAUUAGACUUAUGGGACCCACGUAUGUCAGGACUCAUUCCGGAUUUUAUUCUGAAAUCGGUAAAAUCCGAAAUGAAUCUGAAAUCUAGAAUGAACCAUGCGGGGAUAAUCUCUAAAAGAGAUGCUACGGAAAUUCGGCAUAACCUCCUUUGAAAAUAGACAACCCUUCCUAAAAAAUCUGCAAACACACUUCUAAAAUCAUACUUCAACCUUGUACUCCUAGAGCCUUCAUGCUCUCUAAGUUUAUCACAUCUCACAAAAGAUCAAAUAUUAAUCCAAAAAAAUCCCACAACCAACAAUAAAGAUAUUCAAUAAUUUACUAACUGGAUUAUCAGAGCAUAUCUAAAACUGAAAGAAAAAUGAUGAAUAAAGAAUAAGCGGAAGCAGCCUCUGACUAUGCUUCGACUCCAUGUACGCUCGACCUCAAAUAAACUUUGCCUGCAAACUGGGCAUUUGAAACCGAAUGGCCCAGGGAAAAGUAAUUUAAAACGUUAGAGUGAGUGGACAAAAAUAAAUUAAAUAAUUUAACAAAAACGUAAUUUAACUACUUUCCCACGUUUAAACUUUAAAAACUUAGUUGCACGCAACUUUGAUCAUCCAAAUAACUUUAAAUCCAGAAACACAUAAGAAUAGACAAAUACUGAAAUCUCGUAAGAAAAGACAAACCAGCCCCGCUGGUUAAUUAAUUACAUAAAUGAGAAAAAUAAAUAAAAACAAGGGGAAGAGAUAUCACCAUGUAAGAGGAGCCUCCUAGGCUCUAGUAGCGUCUCACGUUAAGCGCUCGACUCACCUAUGGUGAGUACCGCUAAUAAAGGCUAGUUAGCAAUGAAUAAAAACCGAUCGAAGAUUCGGAGCCUCCCAGGCUAUAAUAGCGUCCAACGGUAAGCGCUCGACUCACCUAUGGUGAGGACCGCUAAAAAAGGCUAGCUAGUAAUGAAUAAGAGCGACCCUAGUAAGGUGACUAAAAAUAUAUGAAAUCACUUAAAUCCAUAAAACUUCCCUAGUAUCAUGCGAAUGGUACGGUUCCCAACCGUAAUUAGAAAUUAUCAUAAUAAUUUAAAAUAAAACUCAAUGACGCAUCUCACACAUCAAAAUAUUCUCAAAUCUAUAAUUAUAAGCGAUAUUUAAUUAUCAAAUAUAACUUGUAAAUAAUAUCUCAACCCGAAAUACUCGCUAAAACAUUCUCAAUGCCAAGAUCGAUAAUCCACAAAUAAAUGAGAAAAUUAUAAAUAGAGAACUACCGAAAAUCCCAUUUUCGGUAAUCUUUUAUAAAUCUCAAAGUCAACAAAUAAAAACGAUAAUAAUUAUAUCCAGAAGGAUAAUUCCCAUGCCAACUCUAAAAUCAAAGAAAUAAUAAGCCAAACUUUCUUACUUUCUUGAGAACGAUAAUUAUAGAAAAGAUAUUUAUAAAGCGAUAGGCGCAUGCAAUUUAUUCAAAAUAAAAGUCCACUCACAAUAUUAAGCCUAAGUUUUUGUAACACCCUAACAAGAUUGAAUUGGACCAAUUCUUUUUGAGGGAUUACUCACCUUGAUGAGAGCUACAAGAUGAGCCAAGAAUCACGAACUUUGGUGGCAGGAGGAGCAAUUUCCGACGAGUGGACCAUCCGGUGUUUCGGCGGGAUUUCUCAUGUUCGGCGGCGUCACCGACCCAAUCAUCGGCCCAGGAAGGAAGAGGAGGCGACGAGGGUCCGAACGGGACCAGUCCGGCGAUCUCUA
rnacentral:lncRNA from 1 species